rnacentral:lncRNA from 1 species
UUUUAUUUAUUUGAUGAAUGAGAAAUGAGUUGGUGAUGCAGAGCAAGUUGCUUUGGAAGUUGUUCAUUACUGGUUUACCAAUUAGCUUUCUUGGAGAAUGGAGAAUGACUCGUACGGUUUUGAUGAUGGGAGGAGAGAAUUUUAUUGAAUUGUUUUUUUUUAUGGCUUUAAGAAUGUGCUGCAACUUUGGAUGGAGUUGUUCACGGCCUGAUGCAAGGAAACUUUUUUUUUUCUUAAUUGUUGAAGCAUUUUUUUUCUUCUUUAUUUUAAUUAAUUAGAAGUACUUUUAUUUCUUCCAACACCUCAGGUUAGUGAUUAAGAUGGAGAAGCACUUUAGU